AUCGGGAUUUUAACCGUCGUCGGAGAGAUACUAACCAUUUUACUUUCUCCAAAAAGAGGCAUAAACGAUUUCUUACACGAUUACAUCGAGGCUGAGUAUGUCGGACAAUCACAUAACAUGACUUGCGAAGGUGAAUUCCGAGAAUGUCCUGUCUCUUUGUUCAAUCUCUUCCCUUCCGACGGUGAUUCCAACGAAAUAGUUGAUGAUGAGGACGACCAAGAUGAAAGUAGUGAACUAUCCGAUGUCCACGAAGAAUCUGCCGGGCCACAUUCGACGAGUAAGAGCCACGAAGUGUAUGUUCUUCCUAAUCUAGAACAUUUGGAUGACCAUAUCCUAG